ensembl:rRNA 5S_rRNA 5S ribosomal RNA
GUCUACGGCCAUACCACCCUGAAGGCGCCCGAUCUCGUCUGAACUCGGAAGCUAAGCAGGGUCGGGCCUGGUUAGUACUUCGAUGGGAGAAAUGUAUUCUUUGGUCUGUAGGUG